rnacentral:rRNA from 1 species
GAUGAACGCUGGCGGCGUGCCUAAUACAUGCAAGUCGAGCGAACAGACGAGGAGCUUGCUCCUCUGACGUUAGCGGCGGACGGGUGAGUAACACGUGGAUAACCCACCUAUAAGACUGGGAUAAUUUCGGGAAACCGGAGCUAAUACCGGAUAAUAUAUUGAACCGCAUGGUUCAAUAGUGAAAGACGGUUUUGCUGUCACUUAUAGAUGGAUCCGCGCCGCAUUAGCUAGUUGGUAAGGUAACGGCUUACCAAGGCAACGAUGCGUAGCCGACCUGAGAGAGUGAUCGGCCACACUGGAGCUGAGACGCGGUCCAGACUCCUACGGGAGGCAGCAGUAGGGAAUCUGCCGCAAUGGGCGAGAGCCUGACGGAGCAACGCCGCGUGAGUGAUGAAGGUCUUCGGAUCGUAAAACUCUGUUAUUAGGGAAGAACAAAUGUGUAAGUAACUAUGCACGUCUUGACGGUACCUAAUCAGAAAGCCACGGCUAACUACGUG